rnacentral:rRNA from 1 species
GACGAACGCUGGCGGCGUGCUUAACACAUGCAAGUCGAACGGAAAGGCCCUGCUUUUGUGGGGUGCUCGAGUGGCGAACGGGUGAGUAACACGUGAGUAACCUGCCCUUGACUUUGGGAUAACUUCAGGAAACUGGGGCUAAUACCGGAUAGGAGCUCCUGCUGCAUGGUGGGGGUUGGAAAGUUUCGGCGGUUGGGGAUGGACUCGCGGCUUAUCAGCUUGUUGGUGGGGUAGUGGCUUACCAAGGCUUUGACGGGUAGCCGGCCUGAGAGGGUGACCGGCCACAUUGGGACUGAGAUACGGCCCAGACUCCUACGGGAGGCAGCAGUGGGGAAUAUUGCACAAGGGGCGGAAGCCUGAUGCAGCAACGCCGCGUGCGGGAGGACGGCCUUCGGGUUGGAAACCGCUUUCGCCUGUGACGAAGCGUGAGGGACGGUAAUGGGUAAAGAAGCACCGGCGAACUACGU